UUACUUUCUUUUUAUAAAAACAAAUUAACAUUCCAACUAUUACGAAUAUCAUUUGUUUACCAUAAAGUUGGAAAAAUUAUUGAUCACGCGCCCUGGUCAGCCAAAUCAAAUAGCUCUCCCCACUGACUUCAUACGAGUGAUUUCCGUCACAUGGGUAGGGGUGGCUUAAAAUUCCGCUAAGCACUGUGCUGCGAUCGGCAGCGAUGUGCAUUUUUAAAGCCUUAUAAUAAAUUACACGCUUUACGCAGAGCACUUAGAUGUGUCAAUUAAUGAUCAGAAGGACCUACUCUAACGACUCAGCACAUUUGUAGAAAAUCGUCAAAAUCAUUUCAGGGUCCCUUUAAAGUACACGGUGACUUCUUCCAUACUUGGAUUGUUGCAAGUGCUGAGGUAGAUUUUUGAAGUAUAUUUUUGUUAGUAGCAAAUCUAGUACAAUUAAUGUUUAUCAAAAGAUUAGGGUUAAUAAAUGAAAUCAAAAUUUGGUUUAUCAUUUGCUUAUGCAAUAAAAUGAUAAGAUUAUAACAAAAUAAGCAAGCUGUAUAUACGUUAUACGCAAGACGCCGACAACGCCGAAUGUCGCCAAGGCUGCGAGGAGUAGGCAGGCUAGGGCGAGCGUGUUAGAUGCCCCGCACACUCUCAAGUUCAACAAAUGUCCACAGAGGGCGAAAAAAUUGACCGCUCGCCUCUGCUAAUAAAACAAGCAUAGUAGAAACACUCAAGGCAUGCCCAGGUUAGUUUCAGUAUCUCCCGCUAGAGGCGCCAUAGUAAGCGCAAUAUUAUUUUACAAACAUUCUCCUACAGUUACCGAAGCAUUUUUAUUACAUAAGAAGGAAUACAACAUUAUCAUUGCUAAUUAGAUAUUGAACUCUUUAUUUGUAAGGUUUUUUUUUUUGUCAUUAUAAACGGAAAUAGCGUUUCUUCCACAUGACCUCUAGCCUGGAUUUAUAAUUUUUACUGGUAUUUUCGACUGCACGGCGGCACGGAUUCAUUCGUUCGUACAGGCUGGUUGCUUCUUUGUUGCGAAAACUAUUUCAUUGCACUUCGAUGUCUUGCAUUAUUUAACUUGGGGUGAAGUGACGUGUUUGCAAGCGGACAUGUAAGCCCGAAAGCUAGGCUUCGGUCAUGAGCCAUUCGGUACACAUCUGCAUCGAAACGGGAGCUGGAUUCUGCUGCGGCUGUCAACGGCAAUAACGGUGAGUCGUUUAAGCCACCGCUGCUUGAAUCUUUAUGUAAUAUUUUCAUUAGCUCAUUAUUCUCAGUCUCAUUAAUUUACAGGCAGAGACAAGUUAACGAACUAAAUCCUGCGUUACAUAUGGCCAGUCAGGACCCUCCGUUGCUGUUUCCUAAACAAACCUUUAGUUGCGAGGCCGUCGUUAAACACACACAAUCAGGAAAGAAAGAGAGAGCGAUAUAGGAAUGCGCGUCACAUUUUUCAUCUUAUUGUAGCCCUGGCCCCUGGCCAUAGGCGACUGAGUAGCCUUAUCAAUAUAUAUAUAUAAAACUUUUUUUCGAGUCCACUGGCAACUUCUUUCGUCCACAAAACUGAAUAAUCGUUUGGUAAAAUGAAGUGAAAGUUCAGAAUUUAAUGUAUUAAACAGUUGCAAGCAUGAUAAUUCACCCGAAUUUCGUACUUGUUGGUUCCAAAUGUUCUUGCUGUUCAGUUUGGUUUACCGUAGGGCAUUUAUUUUUGCAGUAGUGAAGCGGCGCAUCACGUUCGUGCAGAAAAAUAAGUCAUCAGUUCUAAUAGCUUCGUGUCUUUCAUGCAUUUGCUUGUGAAACCAGCAGUGUGAUCUCCUCUAGUGUAUGAAUGAGCGCACAAAUGUUCUCAUUUGUGAUCGUAAUAAUACUUAAGCUGUUUACAAGCAUUGCAGUUAGGCAGACAUCAAUUGUAUGGACAAUAGCAAUAUUUAUUUAACAUGCUGCUUAAGCACCCUAGAACAGACAGUGUACAUUUGCAUGUGUUCUGUAGUCACAAACCAUUACAGUGUAUAUGUCGCACCUCUUCGCAUUUCAUAUUGCAAAAUUGUGCUUAUUCAAUUUCUGAUGCAGGCAAAAUUUCUGUUCCAGACAUGCAGUAAUGAGAACGGCACCAAUAUAAAUCAACUCACUCCACGCAUUAAAGAGAAGCAGCUGCCUGCUACAACAAGGUCAUUGUGUGGACUUUGGCCGCUACUACAAGAGUCUGUGCCAAGCACAUCUUGGUCAUCACAGAAGACCCCAUCUACACCAACAGGAAGGGGCUGGAGCCGAAUUCACUAGGCUCUACACCACGAACAAAAAAGCCACUCCAGAACUAUUUGGAUGAGAUAUGAAGUCUACGGACGACUGUGUCAAGAGUGAAAAGAGCCUCAGCCAUCAUUCCACCAGCACGGAUAUUGGCCGAGUCAUCCAGGUGCCUCGACAACAAAAAUUCUGUGUCUUCAGAUGUACCUGCAACCUCUGAACAAACACAGACGAUGCUGGCCAAAAAAGUUCCGUCAGCUUGCCCUUAAUGAGCUUCCUGGCCUUGUCAAAUACCAUUUGUGCCAAGUGUAAUUUUUUUUCAAUGAAUGCAAGCUUUUUCAUUCCACAUUCUUGUUAGAGAUCAUUUCUCUUCCUCAUCCAAACAUUAAAGGUCAACCGAUUCUUUGCUCAUACUUAAUACCAGUCACUGUCUAGUAGCACAACAUAUCUGUAGCAGUAUUUUCUAGUGUACGUGCUCUCCUGAAGUAGCUGAUGCGGCAUUGGCAUGUGUCUUGCAUUAACCUUUGCACUGUGUGCUAUGUAGCAUUAAACUUUUCUUAAUGUUUUUGGCUUUCAGUGCUUGCAAGGUAGAGUUGCUUCUUUCUUGAAUGCAAGUGUUCUCAUUCCCACAUUUAAUUCCUAGUCUCAUUCAGGAUUGCUAUUCUUGCUCGACAGCCUGUGUUCUUGCACAAGCUACAUUGAAGUGAUUGAUUGCGGAAUCUGGUUUCACUGCUGUUCGACUUGGUACUCGUCACCGUGUUACGUUGCUCGUAUGUGGUAGCCUGGUCAGUUGCAUUGGGAAACAGUCUCUCAAGGCAAGCACCUGCUCCUGCAGUCCGCACAGCGACAUAGACUCCGAAUUUACACGCACCGUGAUUGGUGCUCCCAGUUCCGUCCUCUCCUGCUGCUGCCAUGUGCAAAUUAUGCUUGUGGCCUUCCUCAGCCAUGAUUUUGCAUCAACGGAGACUAUCAUACGUGAAUACAUGGUCCGAAGUGUAUGAAGUUGAUAUCCACAUGGAUGGAAAGGUCUGCAAAAGUGGCUGCAAAAUGGUGAUGCUCACUACACCAACCAUGCCCAUAUUUAGAAAAUGUGGGGCACCAAAUGUGAGUUACACAUUAGUGGCACACGAAAGAACAAAAAGAAAUGUGCAGGUUGGAAAGGAGGUAAUGCUGAAAUGCCGGGCACUCUAUGUUGCUAUGUUGCCUGCGGCAGCAGAUGCUUGCGUCACCCAAUUGCUUUGCAAUGCAAGUAGCUCAUCUUCAACAGCGACUGUCAGUGCAAACACGUGGGACGCACUGUCCAAUCUGCUUGCACUGCUGGUUGUCACUUGUUCCCAGACCACCACGUGCGACGAAGGCAAGCACUAUGCCUGCAGUUGGAUGGUUGAAUGUGCCAUAAGUGACCCGUGUGCGUGUAUGCUCACUGUUGUCAUGUGGAUCGUAGCCAAUGUAUAGUGCCAAUGCCUUAUGUUAGAAGUAUGCUGAUGUGAUUGGAUUGCAGAGUCUUAUUUCAAGGCUGUCCCACUUGGUCAUGAUUGCCGUGUUACAUUUCUGGGAUGUGGUGGCCUGGUCAGUUGCAUUGGGCAACAGCUUUUCAAGGUAAGCACCUGCUCCUGCAGUCCGCACAGUGACAUAGACUCCCUGUUUACACGCACCGUGGUUAGUGCUCCCCGUUCUGUCCUUUCCUGCUGCAGCCGUGUGCAAAUUUUGCUUGUGGCCUUCCUCGGCCAUGAUUUGGCGUCAACGGAGACUAUCAUAUGUGAUUACAUGGUCCGAAGUGUAUAGGGUUGAUAUCCACAUGGGUGGAAAAGCCUGCAAAAGUGCCUGUAAAACAGUGAUCCUCACAAAACAGACCAUGUCCAUACUGAGAGCAAGUGGGGCACCAAGUGUGAGCGACACAUUAGCGGCCACCGAAAGAACAACAAGAAAUGUGCAGGUUGGAAAGGAGGUAAUGCUGAAAUGCCGGGCACUCCAUGUCACUAUGUUGCCUGCAGCAGCAGAUGCUUGCGUCACCCCAUUGACUCGCAAUGCAACUUACAGCGACUGUCGAUGCAAACAGGUGGGACCCUGUCAAAUCUGCUUGUGCUGCUGGUUGUCACUCAUUACUAGACUGCCAUGUGCGACGAAGGCAAGCACUGUGCCUAAAGUCAGAUAGCUGAAUGUGUUGUAAGUGACCCGUAGUGCGUGAAUGCUCACUGUUGUCAUGUGGAUAUUAGCCAAUGUACAGUGUAUUGUCUGAACCUUAUGAGGUGAUUGAAUGCCGAGUAUCAUUUGAUCAUGGUCACAGUGUUGUUUCUUGGAUGUGGCGACCUGGUCAGUUGCAUUGGGCAGCAGUCUCAUGAGGUAACCAUCUGCUCCCGCAGUCCACAGAGUGAAUUUACACACACCAUAAUUAGUGCUCUCCGUUCGACCUUUCCUGCUGCAGCUGUGGGUAAAUUAUGCUUGUGGGCCUUCAUCGGCUGUGAUGGGGAAUGAGUGGACAUCAGCAUACGUCAUUACAUCAUCCGAAGUGUAUGAAGUUGAUAGCCACAUGGGUGGAAAGGCCUGCAAAAGUGGCUGCAAAAUGGUGAUGCCCACAAAACCGACCAUGCCCGUAUUGAAAAUGUGGGGCACCAAGUGUGAGUCACACAUUAGCGGCACGCGAGAGAACAAAAAGAAUCGUGCAGGUUGGAAAGGAGGUAACGCUAAAAUGCCGCGUAGUCCAUGUCACUCUGUUGGCUGCAGCAGCAGAUGCCUGCAUCACCCGAUUGCUUCGCAAUGCAAGUUAGGGUGACUGUCAAUGCAAAAAGGUGGGGCACUGUCCAAUUUGCUUGCGCUGCUGAUUGUUACCAGACCGCCAUGAAUGAAUGAAUGAAUGAAUGUGCGACGACGACGAAAGUGAGCUUCUCAGCGCAUCUCGAGGCGCAAAUUUUAUUUCUGCUCUUGUAGGGGAAGGUGCACUGCUUUUCUUCUGCCAGUAAAGUCGCACGUCCUGUUCA